AAUAAUAUAUGUGGAAGAAUUGUGUUUUUUAAAAAAUAAAAAUUAUGAGGCCCACUGGUUAAAUUUAUCUGUCUGUUUAAUUUACCAUUUAUCUUUGGCAAAUACCAGAGUGACUAGCACACAAGGACUCACUGCAUUGUUAUUUGCUAUAUAGAUAACUGAAUGAAUAAAUGAAUGAAUAGAUGAAAAAUAGAUUCUUGUCAUGACUUCAUUUUGAAAAAACAGUGUGACCUUGACCACAACCUUUUAUAUUUUUAGGUCAAAGUUACCCAUGUGUAAAAUAAAGGCUGAUGAUAACACUUGAAAGCAGGAUUCUGGAUCAGAUAUUCUCUUUAUAUUCUUUCUAGAUGUUUGAGUCUGUGUAAUCCAGUUUGGGUCUUUCCUGAAGAUACUUCAUCAUAUACCAAAAAUGUUCCCUGGGCCUUUCUAUUAUUAUGGUGUACAUGCCUUGCUUGAGUGAGUCUCUACAAUGUUGGAAAAUAGAGGACAGGGAAGCUAUGAGUAAAUGGUUCCAAGAGUUUUCAAAGAGGUGGAAAUUAUUCAAAUUUCCACCUUCCUGAAUGGAGCAUCUUUGUUGAUCACUAGAGGCAUUCAGUAGAGACCCCAGUUGGCUGGAAUUGGAGUUGCUCUGAAGACAUUCGCAACAUGCACAGGUUCUGGAAGGCUUAGGCCCUUGAGGGAAUUAGGUCGAAUUAUUCACAAGGAAGCUCUAUGGACUAGACAAGAGGAGAGUGCUAUGGAUUGAAGGUUUGUGAUCCCACCAAAAUUCAUCUGUUGAAAUCCUAACCUUCAUUGUGAUGGUAUUAAGAGGUUGUGUCUUUGGGAUGUAAUUGGUCAUUAGGAUGGAGACCACAUGAAUGGGAUUAGUUCUCUUAUAAGAAGAGAUAGAAGAUUUUGCUCCCUCUCUCUCUGCUUUCUACCAUAUGAGGAUACAGCCAUCUGCAAAUGAGAAAGCAGGAUUUUACCAGACACUGGAUCUGCCAGCACCUUGAUCUUAGACUUCCCAGGCUCCAGAACCAUAAGAAAUAAGUGUUUGUUGUUUAAACUACCAAGUUUGUUGUAAUAUGUUAUAGCUGCCAGAGCUGACUAAAACAGAGAGUAACCCUGGAAACUGGCUAGGCAUGAUCUCCCUAAAAACUGGAUAGAAAACAGCCAUUUAGGUUCCUUUAGCAGCUAUGCUCAAACAAUUUCAGCUCUAGGGGAAUGUUGAGGAUCUCUGUGUUCCAGGAACACUAAAACCAUGAAACUCGUAGUUCACAACACACUGCCUGAAAAACCAAAGGAAACAAUGAUACUGAUGAAAAUAACCAGACUCUUAAGACUUCUCUAAAUGUACCUAUUUGUUAGGACCAUGUAAGUGCCAAAGAAGGAAAUCUGUCCUUUAAACAUUGAUAAUCAACUUCUUGACAAUCCUACUGAGCUGGGAGUAUAUAGGAAAUUUUAAUUUAAUUUAUAAAAAUAAGGAAAUGUUGUGGAACAAUUAAUACCAAUUAGAGUUCUUGAGUGAGUUGAUCAAUCAAACCACAGUUUGGAAGCCACUUGUAAAAUAAAGGUUUAUUGAGAAUAGACAAUAUUUUUGCUUGGCUUGAUUUUGAUAGAUCAUAAAAUCCAUUGGUAGAGAAAUAACAGUGACAAUAAACUUUUAUGAAAUUACAUAAUUAAAUAAGAAAUUAUAAGAAAAUGAAUAGACUAUCAUUUUUCUUUCUUAAAAGAAUCACACAAAAAUGGAAGAAUUUACAAUUUAUUUUGAAAUAUCCCUACUUGACUAAAUCUUAAUCUUG